AUGCAGAUGGUUGCGGAUGUGGCAAGCCCGAUUGAGCUUCUCGACUCGUCCUCGGAGUCUGACGGCGGGGAGCUCGGUCGGCGGGGGGAGACUGGGGGCGCGACCUCCGUGAUCCACGCGGGGCCGUCGCCUGGCUCAUCCGGAGAUCGAAGGCGGGUGGGGGGCCGGUUUUGGGCACUCGCUGACGCCGACGAUGAAGACGAGGAUGAGGAGGCCGAAGCGGCGCAACCUUCUCCAGCGUCGCCGACCCAUUCCGAUUUGCUGUGUGAGUUUUUGUGUGCAGAGUACGAUGAAGAUGAGGUCGCUUCUACGGUCAACAACAUCUUGCCCGUUGAUGAUCCGGCUCGGGUUGGGCUUCAUGCGAGGGAGACCAAGGAGAUGUUGCGUCGGGUGGUUCAUCGGAGAACGGCGGCGUCGGUGAUCCGGCCGUGGAAGGGUCCCCUACCUAAGGUUGUAUUCCGUGCUACGGCGCUGAUCCGUAUGUGGUCCUUACUCAUUCUCGCGGAGGCCAGGGAGCGUUUGGUUAAUGGAUCUGUCCGGUGGGAGAUGGUAGCGCGGGAUAUCUUCAACCGGUUUGGAUGGCGGUCAUGUAAUAGAAUAGGCAAUUAG
rnacentral:rRNA from 1 species